rnacentral:rRNA from 1 species
AACGAACGCUGGCGGCGUGCCUAACACAUGCAAGUCGAACGGGAUUGAGGGGCUUGCUCUUCAAUCUAGUGGCGCACGGGUGAGUAACGCGUGGAUAAUCUGCCCUGGUGUCCAGGAUAACAUUUCGAAAGAGGUGCUAAUACUGGAUAAGCCCACGGGGUCUUCGGACCUUGCGGGAAAAGGUGGCCUCUGAAUAUGCUACCGUAUCAGGAUGAGUCCGCGUACCAUUAGCUAGUUGGCGGGUAACGGCCACCAAGGCGACGAUGGUUAGCUGGUCUGAGAGGAUGAUCAGCCACACUGGAACUGAGACACGGUCCAGACUCCUACGGGAGGCUG